UUCCUGAGAAAAUGUUGCUGCUUUUGCAAUCGGCUUGAAACAACUCCUUUUGUCAGUGCCUCCAUCCCGGAAUUAUCAGAAUAAAAAAAACAAAAAGCGGCAGUAGUUAGCUUUUCAUUUUCCACACAAGGAGAAUAUGAGGCUCAAGUCUGCUACUCAGCUAUGAGAAAUCCUACCCUCUUCCUCGCAUAAUAAUUUUUCCCCAUUGCAUUGCCUGCAUUGUGUCAUUUUACGAGCCAGUUCGUAUGGGAUGGAGGCUAACAUCGCGCAUGCACAUAUACGCGCAUUCGUCUUGACUAUUCUAUGCGAUGCGGGUGAUACCCGGAUGUACAGUACCACUACGACUACAUUCAAAUUCACUGCAUUGUUAAAUCCUGCGGCGGAGUUGGUUAUACCGAUGACACGAGGGGGACUGUCCAGUACAUAUACAAGCCACUCCGGGCUUUCUGAUG
rnacentral:sRNA from 1 species